UACGUAGGGUGCGAGCGUUGUCCGGAAUUAUUGGGCGUAAAGAGCUUGUAGGCGGUUUGUCGCGUCUGCUGUGAAAAUCCGGGGCUCAACCCCGGACUUGCAGUGGGUACGGGCAGACUAGAGUGUGGUAGGUGAGACUGGAAUUCCUGGUGUAGCGGUGAAAUGCGCAGAUAUCAGGAGGAACACCGAUGGCGAAGGCAGGUCUCUGGGCCACUACUGACGCUGAGAAGCGAAAGCAUGGGGAGCGAACAGGAUUAGAUA
rnacentral:rRNA from 1 species